rnacentral:misc_RNA from 1 species
GACGCGAGUAUCAACUGAGAUUUAUCAUUUUGGAUAGCUUGAAAGAAGUAUGGACUCUUGAUGGAAUUAAGAAAGGGACUUGAUGCAGAAAAUGAUAUAAUGGGCACUUGAGCUUUUUGUCCAAGUUCAAUAACAAAGUUGGCCUGCAUUGAUGUUGCUGGCCCUAAGAUUGCUUGCACUUGUUCAUUUUUUAUCAAGUCCAAAGCUGCUGCAGCAGCACCAACGACAUCAGCCAUGGAGUUCCUGGUGUGAAGGAGCAGCCUGGUUAUGUAACGAGCAUUGGUGGCAUGGAAGUCUGAGAGAGAUAUAUUGACACAACCAAACCACAUCUUUCCAACCCAAUUCUCAAAUUCACAAGGAACCACACCUACGUUCACUGGGGUGGUUGUGUGUUGUGCCAUAGCCAUUUCCAUGAACAAAAUCCCUACAAAACAAAAGAGAAAGGAGAAGAAAACAGGUUCGUAAGCGUAUCUCCUCAUCAUUGCUUAUUGAGAAAUCGUUACCUGGAGUUUCAUUAUGGGUAUAAUAAUUAGGAUUUGAGAAGUUGGAUUUAUACAUAGUUCUUAGUCCAGUUGUUAGAUGCAUGUUACCCAUGAGCACGUUACCCAUGAGCACGUAUUGAGUCUUUGCCCUUUUUUAGGGUAAAAGGAGCUAUGGCUUAAAUUUCCUCGUUGUUUAGUUAAAGGUCAACCCGAGUAACUAAAUCUUAACUAAACCUUGAAAUAAAAAAUAAUGGGGGUUCUUCUCCACGAUCUGCCCACUUGGCCACUCAUCUCUCAUCUGUUUUUUAAUGUGAGCUAAGCUACGUUUCUCUUAACACAUACCCAUACAUCUCUUAUCCUAACAUCAUGUACAACAAGUAGGCACUCAAUCACUGAAUUAUUGCUCAAUGGAUCAACCAUGAUCUCUUGUUGCCAUAGCUGCUUCUGUGAUUGAAAUCGCCCGCACGGCUCAAACGCAACAGUUUAUCCUGAAACAGCAGGGGCCUGAGAUUUUGGAUCGAUCGUACCCAUCUCCAAGUAACAAGCCAUUCUAUACUUUCCUUGAUGCUAUUGGCUUCGCUUGUGCCUUGUGUCGGUGCAUUUUCUCACUAUUGCAUACUUCUAUCACAGUCGACACGCUGACAAUCCCAUCGACAUUUCCAUUGUAUCUCUCAUCUUCAUCAUAUGUCUGGCCUGUUCCAAAUUAACCAAGGAUCCAAGAAACACACCGACAUCCCCACCUGUUUACUUAGGACCACUGAAUAUUUGGUUCUUCAGUUUCAAUAUAAUCCUGUUUGGGAGGCAGAUUUUGAUUAUUAGUUCAUUAUACUUCAAAUGCCUAACAUGGGUACAUACAUUAGUUCAUCAGGUAUUUCUACAACAAUUACACAACUCGUUCAAAAUACAUGAAGCAACACGCCGCAAAUUGGUACUGGAACAGGUCAUCUAUCAGAAAACAGUAAAAACCAGGACCUCACUUGGUUUAUCAGCAGACCAAUCUCUUGCUGUAUUGCGAUGUGCCCUAAGAUUGGUCUUUACAUCUCCUUAUCAAUGAUAUCGCGCAUCGUCUGCAUUGGGAUGAGCCCUUCUGCCCGGAUUGCAUCCUUAUUUGGAUCUGGACUGAUGAAAAAUAGUGUUGGCAAACCCCGAACCUGCAUGUCGCAUGCAAAUUCAUACUCAUCAUCAGUGUCAACCUUAACUAUCAUUGCAUUUUUCUCGUACUCCACAGCAAGCUGUAGAAGAUAACUUUGAGUUAUGAGAUUUCCAUAAAAUUAAAUUAAGCCAACAUCACAUGUCAGAUGAUAACAAACCAUACAAAAUAUAGAUUUUGGCAUCUUAAAGGGCAUUCUACAUGGCAAUCAAAGUGACUACCAGGUGAAGACAGAUGUGGUUGUGUAUGGUAGAAAUUUACAUGUUAGAACUUAGAAGGGCAACAACUAGGAAAUUGACUGACAACAGAUCAGUUUUCAGGGAACAAAAGGCUACAAAACAAAUUUAACAGGCCUAGAAAAUGCAUGGGUUGCUGUACAAAAAUAAUGGUGGCACACAAGCUCGAUUUCUCUCAUUUGCACAAGGGCAAGAUCAUCUCAUAAUCGAUUUUGUGUUGAACUACCAGAGCUGCAAUGCAGAAUGCCAGAAGAUACAGUUCAAUUUUGUUAUUCUAAGUAAAUUAAAGUCAUUUCACAAGAGAGAUACUUAUUUUAUUCAUUUCUCAUAACCUAAUAAUGUUAAGACAAUUUUAUUCCUCAAUUAAUUUUAUAUGAAAUUCUCAUUAAAUUUAAAUUUUCUCUUUUAUCUAGGAUUUGAUUUCCAACCCAGAAAACACAAAGUAGCUACAGAAUUUUUGUGUGAACUUGGUGAUCUCUGUAACAUAUACCAACCUUCCAACCUUAUUAUACAACAAGACCUAGCAUUCUAUCCAAAGAAGCUGCUGACUAAGGGCUAACAUUUCACCCGUGACUCACCAGAUUAGGCCAUGAAGUGUAUAAAGGACAAAGAAAUUUGCAUGACAUGAGAACACAGAGGCUAGAGUGUUCCAUCUUUUUCACAUGAGAAUAAUCUAUAAGGUAUUAAAAAAAUUUUAAAAAAAUGAAAAAAAAAGGAAUGACAAUAGGAACAGCAAGGGGAAAGAAGGGAAAGAAGCUGCUUUCCUUUAUUGUGAAGUUGUCAUGGAUUUCACAAAUUAACAAUAAUUUUUUACUAAAUGCACAACUAUAAUAAAAUUUUUCAAUGUCAUCUCAAAAACUUAAUUUCCAAAAACUCCAGACCAAACCUAUGCUUUAGAGUUUUUAGAUUCUGGAAAUGGUUCCAUAAAACUCAUACUAAUUAAAUCUACAGAGCAAAUGAACUUUGAUACUCCUGAAGACCACCCCUGUACUCCAAAAUGUUCCCCUUUAUCUUCGACUUGAACACUUCUUAUGGAGAAAUCACAUUGCAGCCUGUACCUCAUUGAUCUCAUAUGAUGUAAUUCAUAGCAAAGAGUACAAAUAACACAAUUAAUAAGACAGAUACUUGAUUAGCCCACUAUCAGCAAUGAUCUGCAUUGGAAGACCUAAUUUUUCCACUCAAACGAAGUAGACCUACAAAACCCACCUAUUUGUACAACAAAGGAUAACCUUCCAAUGCAUGUUGAAUAGUUUCCAUAACAAUGUGAUCCAAAUACAUAAAGAAUGUGAUGCUAACUUGAAGCAGCACACCAUUUCAAGUUCUUGGGCCAUCAAAAUACAUGGUCCACACCACGUUGCAUAAAAAUCAAUGAUGAGGGGCACAUUUCUUUCUCCCCUUACCAACUCCUGUAUCUCCUGUGCAGACUUCUUUUUCACAAGGUAGUCUUCUCUAACAUGCUUUCCCUGAGGGGGUCUGCAAAGCAGUCUUCUUGGCCGAGUAGAGAGAGAAAAGGGUCUCUUCUGGGUGGUGUUGGUGGCAGAAAAGAGAGAAUUCUCUUGAUGGGUUUUCAAGGAAGAGAGAGGAAAAGAAAAGCGAGAUGAUGAUGAAGCUUGUGUUUUAAAGAUGGAUGAGAGAGUUGUUGUCUUGUGGUAAAGAGUGUGGACAUGGAGUGCAGCCAUUUGCAGAGAGAGAGGAGACAGAGCUGUGCGAGAGAGGGGGUUUAGAGGAGUUUUUGCAGGUAUGAAUUGAGAUGGUC